AACGAACGCUGGCGGCAUGCCUAAUACAUGCAAGUCGAACGAGAUCUUCGGGUCUAGUGGCUCACGGGUGCGUAACGCGUGGGAAUCUGCCCUUUGGUUCGGAAUAACAGUUGGAAACGACUGCUAAUACCGGAUGAUGACGAAAGUCCAAAGAUUUAUCGCCAGGGGAUGAGCCCGCGUAGGAUUAGCUAGUUGGUGUGGUAAAGGCGCACCAAGGCGACGAUCCUUAGCUGGUCUGGGAGGAUGAUCAGCCACACUGGGACUGAGACACGUCCCAGACUCCGAGGGGAGGCGGCAGUGGGGAAUAUUGAACAAUGGGCGAAAGCCUGAUCCAGCAAUUCCGCGUGAGUGAUUAAGGCCUUAGGGUUGUAAAGCUCUUUUACCCGGGAUGAUAAUGACAGUACCGGUAGAAUAAGCUCCGGCUAACUCCGUGCCAGCCGCCGCGGUAA
rnacentral:rRNA from 1 species